GAUGAACGCUAGCGGCAGGCUUAACACAUGCAAGUCGAGGGGCAGCAGGGAUUUAGCUUGCUAAAUUCGCUGGCGACCGGCGCACGGGUGCGUAACGCGUAUCCAACUUUCCCGUUACUCUCGGAUAGCCUUCCGAAAGGGAGAUUAAUACGAGAUGGUGUUCUAAUUUCGCAUGUUAUUAGAACUAAAGAUUUAUCGGUAACGGAUAGGGAUGCGUGACAUUAGAUAGUUGGCGGGGUAACGGCCCACCAAGUCUACGAUGUCUAGGGGUUCUGAGAGGAAGGUCCCCCACACUGGAACUGAGACACGGUCCAGACUCCUACGGGAGGCAGCAGUGGGGAAUAUUGGGCAAUGGGCGCAAGCCUGACCCAGCAAUGCCGCGUGAAGGAAGAAGGCUUUCGGGUUGUAAACUUCUUUUGUCAGGGACGAGUAGAAGACGGUACCUGACGAAUAAGCCACGGCUAACUACGUG
rnacentral:rRNA from 1 species